rnacentral:rRNA from 1 species
GGCCCCGCACAAGCGGUGGAGUAUGUGGUUUAAUUCGAUGCAACGCGAAGAACCUUACCAAGGCUUGACAUAUAGAGAAAAGUGCAGAAAUGCACUCCCCGCAAGGUCUCUAUACAGGUGGUGCAUGGUUGUCGUCAGCUCGUGUCGUGAGAUGUUGGGUUAAGUCCCGCAACGAGCGUAACCCUUGUCUUUAGUUGCCAUCAUUCAGUUGGGCACUUUAAAGAGACUGCCGGUGAUAAACCGGAGGAAGGUGAGGACGACGUCAAGUCAGCAUGCCCCUUACGCCCUGGGCUACACACGUACUACAAUGGUAGGGACAGAGAGCAGCCACUGGGCGACCAGGAGCAAA